GGACCCGCACAAGCGGUGGAGCAUGUGGUUUAAUUCGAUGCAACGCGAAAAACCUUACCUACUCUUGACAUACUUGGGAGCUCUUGUAAUGAAAGAGUGCCUUUUUGGAGCCAAGAUACAGGUGCUGCAUGGCUGUCGUCAGCUCGUGUCGUGAGAUGUUGGUUAAGUCCCAUAACGAGCGCAACCCUUACCCUUAUUUGCCAGCGAUUCGGUCGGGAACUAUAAGGGGACUGCCGGUGAUAAACCGGAGGAAGGUGAGGACGACGUCAAGUCAUCAUGGCCCUUACGAGUAGGGCUACACACGUGCUACAAUGGGGAAUACAGACGGACGCUAAGCCGCGAGGUGGUG
rnacentral:rRNA from 1 species